UACGAGUGCCCCAAGCGUUAUCCGGAAUUACUGGGCGUAAAGCGUGCGCAGGCGGCUUCUCAAGUCAGGGGUGAAAGCCCAGAGCUCAACUCUGGAAUUGCCUUUGAGACUGAGUGGCUUGAGUACGAGAGAGGUGAGUGGAAUUCCCAGUGUAGAGGUGAAGUUCGUAGAUAUUGGGAAGAACACCGGUGGCGAAGGCGGCUCACUGGCUCGUAACUGACGCUCAGGCGCGACAGCGUGGGGAUCAAACAGG
rnacentral:rRNA from 1 species